GUCAAGGUGAAAUUGAUGAAUUUGUAGAGCGUACUUUAAAGGUGUUUAUAUCAUCUUUUGGUGACGUUGAGGAUGAGAAUGAUCAAUGAAGUGGCAAAGGAAUUCUGGUUAGCUGGUGUUACUUAGAGCUUGUGGUGGAUGAAGGAAGUUGCACAAAGUCAAAGGUUUUUGAAGUGUUUUUUACAUAGGUGUAAAACUGAAUGAUUCUAUGUUUUUUUAUGUUUUUUUUUUGUUAAAUUGAAUGCUUUAGACUAAUGGGUCAAGAUGGAUUCUUUAGCUAUUUAUAAAACGGUUCAUUGUUUGGUAUAUCCUUUUCAUAUAUGUGUUUGUAAAUCUCAUGAAUCAACAUGAAUUGG
rnacentral:lncRNA from 1 species